UCAAGAAUAUUCCCCAAUGGACGAAAGUCUGAGGGAGCGACGCCGCGUGCAGGAAGAAACCCCUCGGGGGCGUAAACUGCUUUUCUCUGGGAAUAACCCUGAAGGUACCAGAGGAAUAAGAGGCUGCUAACUUCGUGCCAGCAGCAGCGGUAAUACGAAGGCCUCAAGCGUUAUCCGGAUUUAUUGGGCGUAAAGAGUUCAACGGUGGUUUGGAACGUUCUCGGUCAAAUUGCAUCGCUCAACGGUGCAACUGCUGGGAAACGGCCAGACUUGAGCCUGGGAGAGGCAGACGGAAUUGUCGGUGUAGUAGUAAAAUGCGCUAAUAUCGACAAGAACACCAAUAGCGAAGGCAGUCUGCUGGAACAGUGCUGACACUUCACGAACGAAAGCGUGGGG
rnacentral:rRNA from 1 species